GACGAACGCNGGCGGCGUGCUUAACACAUGCAAGUCGAACGAAGAGCGAUGGAAGCUUGCUUCUAUCAAUCUUAGUGGCGAACGGGUGAGUAACGCGUAAUCAACCUGCCCUUCAGAGGGGGACAACAGUUGGAAACGACUGCUAAUACCGCAUACGAUCUAAUCUCGGCAUCGAGGAUAGAUGAAAGGUGGCCUCUACAUGUAAGCUAUCACUGAAGGAGGGGAUUGCGUCUGAUUAGCUAGUUGGAGGGGUAACGGCCCACCAAGGCGAUGAUCAGUAGCCGGUCUGAGAGGAUGAACGGCCACAUUGGGACUGAGACACGGCCCAGACUCCUACGGGAGGCAGCAGUGGGGAAUCUUCCGCAAUGGACGAAAGUCUGACGGAGCAACGCCGCGUGAGUGAUGACGGCCUUCGGGUNGUAAANGUCUGUUAAUCGGGACGAAAGGCCUUCUUGCGAAUAGUUAGAAGGAUGACGNAC
rnacentral:rRNA from 1 species